CGUGGGUGGUGGUGCAUGGCCGUUCUUAGUUGGUGGAGCGAUUUGUCUGGUUAAUUCCGAUAACGAACGAGACUCUGGCAUGCUAACUAGUUACGCGACCCCCGAGCGGUCGGCGUCCCCCAACUUCUUAGAGGGACAAGUGGCGUUCAGCCACCCGAGAUUGAGCAAUAACAGGUCUGUGAUGCCCUUAGAUGUCCGGGGCUGCACGCGCGCUACACUGACUGGCUCAGCGUGUGCCUACCCUACGCCGGCAGGCGCGGGUAACCCGUUGAACCCCAUUCGUGAUGGGGAUCGGGGAUUGCAAUUAUUCCCCAUGAACGAGGAAUUCCCAGUAAGUGCGGGUCAUAAGCUUGCGUUGAUUAAGUCCCUGCCCUUUGUACACACCGCCCGUCGCUACUACCGAUUGGAUGGUUUAGUG
rnacentral:rRNA from 1 species